rnacentral:rRNA from 1 species
UGCUAUACAUGCAGUCGAGCGAACAGACAAGGAGCUUGCUCCUUUGACGUUAGCGGCGGACGGGUGAGUAACACGUGGGUAACCUACCUAUAAGACUGGGAUAACUUCGGGAAACCGGAGCUAAUACCGGAUAAUAUUUCGAACCGCAUGGUUCGAUAGUGAAAGAUGGUUUUGCUAUCACUUAUAGAUGGACCCGCGCCGUAUUAGCUAGUUGGUAAGGUAACGGCUUACCAAGGCGACGAUACGUAGCCGACCUGAGAGGGUGAUCGGCCACACUGGAACUGAGACACGGUCCAGACUCCUACGGGAGGCAGCAGUAGGGAAUCUUCCGCAAUGGGCGAAAGCCUGACGGAGCAACGCCGCGUGAGUGAUGAAGGUCUUCGGAUCGUAAAACUCUGUUAUUAGGGAAGAACAUACGUGUAAGUAACUAUGCACGUCUUGACGGUACCUAAUCAGAAAGCCACGGCUAACUACGUGCCAGCAGCCGCGGUAAUACGUAGGUGGCAAGCGUUAUCCCGGAAUUAUUGGGCGUAAAGCGCGCGUAGGCGGUUUUUUAAGUCUGAUGUGAAAGCCCACGGCUCAACCGUGGAGGGUCAUUGGAAACUGGAAAACUUGAGUGCAGAAGAGGAAAGUGGAAUUCCAUGUGUAGCGGUGAAAUGCGCAGAGAUAUGGAGGAACACCAGUGGCGAAGGCGACUUUCUGGUCUGUAACUGACGCUGAUGUGCGAAAGCGUGGGGAUCAAACAGGAUUAGAUACCCUGGUAGUCCACGCCGUAAACGAUGAGUGCUAAGUGUUAGGGGGUUUCCGCCCCUUAGUGCUGCAGCUAACGCAUUAAGCACUCCGCCUGGGGAGUACGACCGCAAGGUUGAAACUCAAAGGAAUUGACGGGGACCCGCACAAGCGGUGGAGCAUGUGGUUUAAUUCGAAGCAACGCGAAGAACCUUACCAAAUCUUGACAUCCUUUGACAACUCUAGAGAUAGAGCCUUCCCCUUUCGGGGGACAAAGUGACAGGUGGUGCAUGGUUGUCGUCAGCUCGUGUCGUGAGAUGUUGGGUUAAGUCCCGCAACGAGCGCAACCCUUAAGCUUAGUUGCCAUCAUUAAGUUGGGCACUCUAAGUUGACUGCCGGUGACAAACCGGAGGAAGGUGGGGAUGACGUCAAAUCAUCAUGCCCCUUAUGAUUUGGGCUACACACGUGCUACAAUGGACAAUACAAAGGGCAGCGAAACCGCGAGGUCAAGCAAAUCCCAUAAAGUUGUUCUCAGUUCGGAUUGUAGUCUGCAACUCGACUACAUGAAGCUGGAAUCGCUAGUAAUCGUAGAUCAGCAUGCUACGGUGAAUACGUUCCCGGGUCUUGUACACACCGCCCGUCACACCACGAGAGUUUGUAACACCCGAAGCCGGUGGAGUAACCAUUGGAGCUAGCCGUCGAAGG